CACGUAGGGGCGAGCGUUGUCCGGAUUUAUUGGGCGUAAAGCGCACGUAGGCGGCAUAGCAAGUCGGAUGUGAAAUCCCUCGGCUCAACCAAGGAAGUGCAUCCGAAACUGCUGUGCUUGAGUACGAAAGAGGAUCGCGGAAUUCCCGGUGUAGAGGUGAAAUUCGUAGAUAUCGGGAGGAACACCAGUGGCGAAGGCGGCGAUCUGGGUCGAUACUGACGCUGAGGUGCGAAAGCGUGGGGAGCAAACAGGG
rnacentral:rRNA from 1 species